ACGGAGGAUGCAAGCGUUAUCCGGAAUGAUUGGGCGUAAAGCGUCCGUAGGUGGUUUUGUAAGUCUGUGGUUAAAGCGUGGAGCUUAACUCCAUAAGGGCCAUGGAAACUACAUAACUUGAGUGAAGUAGGGGUAGAGGGAAUUCCCAGUGUAGCGGUGAAAUGCGUAGAGAUUGGGAAGAACACCGGUGGCGAAAGCGCUCUACUGGACUUAUACUGACACUGAGGGACGAAAGCUAGGGGAGCGAAAGGGAUUAGAUACCCCUGUAGUCCUAGCCGUAAACGAUGGAUACUAGGUGUUGCCCGUAUCGACCCGGGCAGUGCCGUAGCUAACGCGUUAAGUAUCCCGCCUGGGGAGUACGCACGCAAGUGUG
rnacentral:rRNA from 1 species